rnacentral:rRNA from 1 species
GAUGAACGCUGGCGGCGUGCCUAAUACAUGCAAGUCGAGCGAACGGACGAGAAGCUUGCUUCUCUGAUGUUAGCGGCGGACGGGUGAGUAACACGUUGAUAACCUACCUAUAAGACUGGGAUAACUUCGGGAAACCGUAGCUAAUACCGGAUAAUAUUUUGAACCGCAUGGUUCAAUAGUGAAAGACGGUCUUGCUGUCACUUAUAGAUGGAUCCGCGCUGCAUUAGCUAGUUGGUAAGGUAACGGCUUACCAAGGCAACGAUGCAUAGCCGACCUGAGAGGGUGAUCGGCCACACUGGAACUGAGACACGGUCCAGACUCCUACGGGAGGCAGCAGUAGGGAAUCUUCCGCAAUGGGCGAAAGCCUGACGGAGCAACGCCGCGUGAGUGAUGAAGGUCUUCGGAUCGUAAAACUCUGUUAUUAGGGAAGAACAUAUGUGUAAGUAACUGUGCACAUCUUGACGGUACCUAAUCAGAAAGCCACGGCUAACUACGUG